rnacentral:rRNA from 1 species
UACAGAGGUCUCAAGCGUUGUUCGGAUUCAUUGGGCGUAAAGGGCGCGUAGGCGGCGGGGUAAGUCUGGUGUGAAAUCUCGGAGCUCAACUCCGAAAUUGCACUGGAUACUGCUCUGCUUGAGGCAGGCAAGGGGAGAACGGAAUUCCUGGUGUAGCGGUGAAAUGCGCAGAUAUCAGGAGGAACACCGGUGGCGAAGGCGGUUCUCUGGGCCUGUUCUGACGCUGAGGAGCGAAAGCGUGGGGAGCGAACAGG